UUCGGGAAGAAACGACUGACUCAAUGCUGAGAGGUGAUGGGCCCCUUUCGGGGGGAACGGAUCAAGGCCAAGCUCCCAAGAAAAGCGUCGGUUGUUUUGCUUCGCGGCCCGUACCGGAAACCGACACAGGUGGACAGGGGGAAUACCCCAAGGCGCUUGAGAGAACGCGGGCUAAGGAACUCGGCAUAAUCGUCCCGUAACUUAGGGAGAAGGGACGCCUCUUCGUGUGAACCGUACGGGGGAGCAUGGAGAGGUCGCAGCGAAUCGGGGGUGCCGACUGUUUACCAAAAACACAGGUCUCUGCGAAAUCGGAAGAUGACGUAUAGGGGCUGACGCCUGCCCGGUGCCGGAAGGUUAAGAGGAGUGGUCAGCGCAAGCGAAGCCGCGAAUCGAAGCCCUGGUAAACGGCGGCCGUAACGAUAACGGUCCUAAGGUAGCGAAAUUCCUUGUCGGGUAAGUUCCGACCUGCACGAAAGGCGUAACGAGCUCCCCGCUGUCUCGGCCCGGGACUCAGCGAAAUUACAUUCGCCGUGAAGAUACGGUGUUCUCGUGGAAGGACGGAAAGACCCCGUGAACCUUCACUACAGGUUGACAGUGACAUUCGGGUGGGUCCGUAGAGUAUAGGUGGGAGGCGAUGAAGCCGGGGCGCUAGCCCCGGGGGAGCCACCAAUGGAAUACCACCCUGACCCUCCUGGAUGUCUAACCCAUUCCCCUGAUCGGGGAAGGAGACCCUGUCUGCCGGGUAGUUUGACUGGGGCGGUCGCCUCCCAAAUGGUAACGGAGGCGCGCAAAGGUGUCCUCAGGCUGAUUGGAAACCAGCCGUCGAGUGCAAAGGCAUAAGGACGCCUGACUGCAAGACCGACGGGUCAAGCAGAUACGAAAGUAGGCCUUAGUGAUCCGGUGGUUCUUCGUGGGAAGGCCAUCGCUCAACGGAUAAAAGGUACUCCGGGGAUAACAGGCUGAUCUCCCCCAAGAGUCCACAUCGACGGGGAGGUUUGGCACCUCGAUGUCGGCUCAUCGCAUCCUGGGGGUGAAGUCGCUCCCAAGGGUCUGGCUGUUCGCCAAAUAAAGCGGUACGCGAGCUGGGUUCAGAACGUCGCGAGACGGUUCGGUCCCUAUCCUCCAUGAGCGUAGGAAACUUGAGGAGAGUCACUCCCAGUACGAGAGGAUCGGAGUGAACGGACCUCCAGUAUGUCGGUUGUCACGCCAGUGGCAGCGCCGAGUAGCUGUGUCCGGAACGGAUAAACGCUGAAAGCAUCUAAGCGUGAAACCGUCUCCAAGACCAGGUUUCCCCUUUGAUAAGGGCUGUUGUAGACCACAACGUCGAUAGGUGGGACGUGUGCGGGCCGUGAGGC
rnacentral:rRNA from 1 species